rnacentral:rRNA from 1 species
UACGUAGGGUGCAAGCGUUAAUCGGAAUUACUGGGCGUAAAGCGUGCGCAGGCGGUUCGGAAAGAAAGAUGUGAAAUCCCAGAGCUUAACUUUGGAACUGCAUUUUUAACUACCGGGCUAGAGUGUGUCAGAGGGAGGUGGGAUUCCGCGUGUAGCAGUGAAAUGCGUAGAUAUGCGGAGGAACACCGAUGGCGAAGGCAGCCUCCUGGGAUAACACUGACGCUCAUGCACGAAAGCGUGGGGAGCAAACAGG